rnacentral:rRNA from 1 species
GAUGAACGCUAGCGGCAGGCCUAAUACAUGCAAGUCGAGGGGUAGAAGAGGCUUGCUUCUUUGAGACCGGCGCACGGGUGCGUAACGCGUAUGCAACCUACCUUCAUCUGGGGGAUAGCCCGGGGAAAUCCGGAUUAAUACCGCAUAAAAUCACAGGAUGGCAUUAUCCAAUGAUCAAACAUUUAUGGGAUGGAGAUGGGCAUGCGUGUCAUUAGCUAGUUGGCGGGGUAACGGCCACCAAGGCGACGAUGACUAGGGGAUCUGAGAGGAUGGCCCCCCACACUGGUACUGAGACACGGACCAGACUCCUACGGGAGGCAGCAGUAAGGAAUAUUGGUCAAUGGAGGCAACUCUGAACCAGCCAUGCCGCGUGCAGGAAGACUGCCCUAUGGGUUGUAAACUGCUUUUAUUCGGGAAUAAACCUUAUUACGUGUAAUAAGCUGAAUGUACCGAAGGAAUAAGGAUCGGCUAACUCCGUGCCAGCAGCCGCAGUAA